GCGGAUGUGGCGGAAUUGGCAGACGCGCAAGAUUCAGGAUCUUGUGAGCGCAAGCUCAUGCAGGUUCAAGUCCUGUUAUCCGCA
rnacentral:tRNA from 1 species